GUGGCAGGAGCUUAGCGGUAGAGCAUUCGCCUGGUAUGCGAAGAGACCCGGGUUGAACUCCCGCCCGCUUCC
rnacentral:tRNA from 1 species